AGCAGUAGGUGUGAAUUUAAAUGGACUCCAGAAGAUGGUAGAGGACAGGAAGACCUGGAGGAACAUUGUCCAUGGGGCCGCGACGGGUCGGACACGACUUCGCAAUUAACAACAACAACACCAAUAGUGCAAAUGGUGGAGCUGGCCCUCCCUUGACAAAAUCUUCAUGAGAAAGGAACUUUAUCCUGGCAAUAGCAAAUAAGAAGCCAAUUUAAUAGCCCCCUUACUCAAUGAUGUCCUAGGACUUGCUUUAGGGGUUUCAGAAUGACUGAUCUGCUUGAACCUCAGCAUAUCAACCUCAUCUACUUACUGAAAAGCUUGAUUUCAGCCAUUUUCAUCUCUUUUAUUAUGCUCAAUAAAACAUACCUGAGUGCACCCACAUUGGAACAUGAAGGAAUGGCACCAUGGCAAUUACUUCACAGAGAAGGCAUCCUUCUUCCCAGUCAGCUGUAGAUUCUUCGGCCAGGAUGUGUUGCUGCUAUAAAGACUGAGCCCAAGAGACUUAUAUGGCAAUGUCAUCUUCGAUCCUGAGGCAUGAAGAAAUUGUUCUGUAUGGAGCCCUAAUCUUCAAGCAUGCUGAACCCAAAGGCAAUUUGGCUCUAUGCUACAGGCAGCCCAUCAAUGGAGGAUUGCUGUGCCAUCCUAUCUACUAGGAAUGGGGAAGAGCAAGGGGAAGUGUUGUUGCCACUUUUAGCUACUGUUAACAUGCUCUCACCAAUGUGCAAUAUAUCUGGGAAUGGCUAUAACACCCAUUACGUUUGGAACAUCUCAUGUCACCAUAGAUUAUUCUUGGACGUAAAAUCUGGACAAAGGCAUUCUCAGUAAGAGGAAAAGCAAAGCAAGCUGUAUAAGAUAGAUUAAAUAUUUAGGGGUAUUUGGAUAAUUUCCCCUUAUAUUCUAAAAGUUCCACUUUGGUCCUUACACAAAGAUUUCUGUUCCUGCAUCAGAUUCUAGAUGUAUUCUGUCUUGAUAAAGAUUACAUUCCAGAUCCUUUCCUUAAUUCUGUAAUUAUCUGAGAUUCUGAAUAAAAUUGUAUAUAAUGAUCAUAAUCUGUUAAAUAACUCUGUUUUAAACAUAUAUGCAUUUUCCUCUCCAAAUGCAGGCAGAAAAAAGGGAGAAACGUAAGUAUGACAACAAGGAAAAUAUAACUUAGAGAGAGAUGAGGGGCAAUGUGGGUAAUAGUAGGUAAGAAGCAACUCAUUUAUCUUUGGCUGUAAAAAAAUAGCAAUUAUAGAUUAAAUAACUUAGAAUUUGCUAAAUUCCACAGCACCAACGUACACUGCCUGAGAUUUCUGCCUUAGUUACUUAAUGCUAGGACUGGCCCUGUGCCUUAUUCCUGCAAGGUUGGUGUUCUAGAUACUGUUAAGACAUAAAGGAAGAAAUCUGAUUUGGAGACUGUAUGAACAAUGUAUAUCUUUCAUGAACUUAAUGAUUUUGUGAUAACUUCUCUCUGUGUAUGCAUGACUUGUCAUCAACUGUUAUCUUAACCUCUUAAAUCCUCCUUGGCCAAGUUAGUCCUGUAAUUAAGUAUUAACUCCUAUAGUGCUAUCUUCCAGAUGGUACUUUACUUUUGAAAUAAAUGAUUGGAUGUUACUAAUAGA